CGGCGGCGGCAGCAGCGCGCGGGUCUCUCCGGUGGUGCUCGCCUUGCAGAGAGAGACGCGGUCAUACGCAUAGCGUCGGAGCGGAUCUGAAUCAGAUUUCAGCCUGCACAGUGGCGUUGUUGUUAACCCUCCGGAGUCCACGAAGGCGCCAGAGCACGACGUCCUCAUGACGUCCUCAUGAUGUCACCAUGUGAACACGAAGCAGCGUGGAGCCCUGCUGUCAGCUGAACUCUACAGUUUUGGCUUUUCCACAAGUUUCCUUGUCCAAUUUAAUGCAUCAACUCUUUUUCAGCAAAGGGAACUCAGUCAGUUAAUGGAGAGUGAACAGCUGUUGGACUGAAGUGUCAUGUUUAAGGGCACUUGAGUGAAUCUUUUAGAAUGCAUGAAUUGGAAUUAAGGACCAUCUCGUCCAUCACGGAGCCACUUCAGAGCUCCAGUAGGAUAUAUCCUUGGCCGAUAUAGAGAAUGAAUUCAAACACACAUUUAAAAAGGUAAAAGCAGAAUCAAUGAAGAGCACAAAAGAGUAAAGGCCUGUUAAAAAAACCUUUGAAUAUUUGUAGAGAAAGAUACUUUAAGAGUGACCAUGGAAAGCAGUGCAGUUAGUUUCCAGUCCAACCAAAGUUAAGGUUUGUUUUAACGAUGACCAUGAUCGUUCCCGAACCUAAACUUUAAGUCAUGGGUCUCAAACUCUCGGCCCGCGGGCCAAUUGCGGCCCUCGUGACGAUAUUUUGUGGCCCCCACCUUGAUAUGAAAGUUUAUUGUGAGUUUUAUAUGAAUGGCACAUGUCGAAGUAUCCUUGAGCAAGAUACUGAACCCCAAAUUGCUCCUGAUGCUGCGUUCAUCGGUGUGUGAAUGAAUUCCCAAUGGUGGCAGGUGGCACCGUUUAGGGUAGCCUCUGCCACCAGUAUGAAUGUGUGUGUGAAUGGGUGAAUGAGUGCAGUUUGUAGUGUAAAGCGAUUUAAGUGGUCGCAAAGCGAAUAGAAAAGCGCUAUAUAAGUGCAGGUCCAUUUGCCAUUUUAUUCUAAUGUAAUACCCGCAAGUAAUGCUUGCUAGCAUUAGCUCACAAACUUAGAAUUCGAUGAGUCGACCACCCAUACAGCCACAGAUGUUACCAUGACGAUGUGAGUAGCGAAAGUGACAUAGUUAAGUCAGUCAUAAAGUCUUGUACCUUAAAUUAAUUUGUUGAAAAUCCAGGUUUGUUAGACACAUCCACCUUCUGCCUGACCUAAGGCGACUUUUCGCUCUUUAUACCUCGUUUCUUUUGCUUCCCUCCCUUUGCUUUAGCACUGGACUACUCUAUAUAGCCACUAGAGGGGAACAUUUAAACAACACACGUUAAUAUAGCAGCUCAUACAAUGGUCUGAUAACGACCUACUAGCCUACCAGCAGGCGGAGCAGGAAUUAUUGGAUAAUUACCGCUCAUAAAGAUUAGAUUAGAUUAGGUUCGACUUUAUUAACUCCACAGCAGGGAAAUUUCUUUGUUACAGCCGACCACAAAAAUUGCACACAAAAUGAUUACCCUUUAAGAUAAAGAUAAAAAAAUAAACAAUCUAAUAGAAAAAGACAUUUAACAAUAUACUAUACUGUAUACAACCUAUUGCAAAUUAAGUGAAGAAUGUGCAGAGUGCAAAUUUUAUGCAAAAUGUGCAUAAAAAGAAAGAAACUACAACACGUUCAAACCUCCAUUCAAUUGUCUAAUAACAUCAAAAUUGGAUGGCCAUUUCCUAUUUCAACACCUAAAACCACAACAUGGUUUACAACUUAGCAAGCAAACGAAAAAAGAAACAAUGACAGGAGAAGAUGGCAUAAUUUCCUCGACAGUUUGAGUCAUCGGGACGAAAGCUCACAAAUAUAACAGCUCCACAUGUUUAUUUCUGACAGAAGGCAGAAUUCAGAUCUCAGUCUGAAUGGGAAGACUGAAUGAGUCAUCGAUAAAAUAAACAAGCUAAAAAAUCCUUGUCAUGUAACACAAAAAGGUUGAACAUUUUAACACCCACAUGCACCAAAUUGCAAUUGCAAUAAAAGUAAAACUUAUGAUGGAAUGUUAUUAAAAAAAGUUAUGUUGAGAGACAUUUAAAAGUGAAAUAAUGGAGGACACGUUGUUAUUAACUCGGUGUUAUACAACUUCCAGAGCAGCACAGCAGUAGGUGUACUGUAUGGUUGAUGCAUCUGUGUUAUGUAACCGUGGACGACGGGGUGCGCAUGUAGGUGUGUGUACGUCCACAUGUCACACACCAAUUAGCGGAGUGAGAAAUAUGAUAAUUAAAGCAAAAACAACAAUAGCUCAUAUGCAGCGAACACUGCAGGAACAGCUGGCCCGUUACGCAAGAGACAACUGUUUUGUAAUGUAAGUGUUAAAGGGUGUGUGUGUGUGUGUGUGUGUGUGUGUGUGUGUGUGUGUGUGUGUAGGUGCACUAAGACAUGUGUGACCAGCAAAACUGUGUGAGAUCACACCUUCCUACACACACACACUCAUAGGCUAACAGUUAUAUAGGGAAAAGGUAGAACAAAACAGGGUAAAAGAGUGUAUUGAUUAUAUUUUUCUGCCAUAUUUACAUGUAUCGGUUAAAGCUGGAUGUUUUAAGUCAUAUAAUACACAUGGAUAUUCAAUAAUAACUAUAAUCAAAACAAAAAAGAUGGUAUCCAAAUUUUCCUCAUCUGACAAUAUGAGUUAUCUUUACAUUUCUAAAACUGGAAAAAAAAAAAAAAAAGUUAAAAACUGUGUACUUUGUAAUAAUAAACUGGAUCAAGUUUGAGGAGGAAUCAUAGUCAUAAGAAAUGCUUGAUUAAAACAACAGCAAAACGGUGAAAUAUUGACCUCAUGCAUGAAACACUUAAAAUGACAGAUGCCUCAUUUGCAUAAUGAAGAAAAAAUACAUAAAGAAAAUGAUACAUAAUGGGGGUAAUAAAUAGGGGAAGAUGCAAAGGCAAAAUAAUGCUGAAAAAUAAAUAUGUUUAAAAAAUGAAUAAUUAUAUCAAAUUCCUUUAAAUAAAUAAAUACAUUUAAUAAUUUAUUGAAAAUAAAAAAAUAAACAGGAACAUUAGUUAAAAGACGG